rnacentral:rRNA from 1 species
GAUGAACGCUGGCGGCGUGCCUAAUACAUGCAAGUCGAGCGAAGCGGGGCCGGGUGAGUCACACGUGGCUAACCUCCUAUAAGACUGGGAUAAAUUCGGGAAACCGGAGCUAAACCGGAUCCUUAUAGAUGGAUCCGCGCGGCAUUAGCUAGUUGGUAAGGUAUCGGCUUACCAAGGCAAUGAUGCAUGGCUGACCUGAGAGUGUGAUCGGGCACCCUGGAACUGAGACACGGUCCAGACUCCUACGGGAGGCAGCAGGAGGGAAUCUUCCGCAAUGGGCGAAAGCCUGCCGCAGCAACGCCGCGUGAGUGAAGAAGGUCGUCGGAUCGUAAAACUCUGUUAUUAGGGAAGCGGUACCAAAUCAGAAAGCCACGGCUAACUACGUGCCAGCAGCCGCGGUAAUUC